GUGCUCACUUUGACAGCAUAUGUACUAAAAUUGAGAUGGCACAGAGAAGAUUAGCAUGGCCCCUGCACAAGGAUGACACGCAAAUUCGUGAAGCGUUACAUAUUUAU
ensembl:snRNA U6 U6 spliceosomal RNA